ensembl:rRNA 5S_rRNA 5S ribosomal RNA
GCUUAGAAUGAUGCAUGGUGCAAUCAAUUUAUUGAUUGAUAUUAUCAAUGCUGAUUUCAGAAGCUAAGCAGGGUUGGGCCUGGUUAGUACUUGGAUGGGAGACCACCUAGGAAGACCAGGUGCUGUAGGCG